CAUUACUAUUCCAAUAUUAACACCACUGUCACCACAACCAUCCAUCACUCCAUCACAAUCCCAGCACCAACACCACUGUCACCACCACCAUCCAUCACUCCAUUACUAUUCCAAUAUUAACAUCACUACCACCGCAACUAUCCAUCGCUCCAUCACUAUCCCAACACCACCGUCACUAUCACCACCACCAUCCAUUACUUCUUCACUAUCCCAACACCAACACCACUGUCACCACAACAUCCAUCACUCCAUCACAAUCCCAGCACCAACACCACUGUCACAACAUCCAUCACUCCAUCACUAUCCCAACACCAAUAUCACUAUCACCACAACCAUCCAUCACUCCAUCACAAUCCCAGCACCAACACCACUGUCACCACAACAUCCAUCACUCCA
rnacentral:lncRNA from 1 species